rnacentral:rRNA from 1 species
AGAAUCAACGCUGGCGGCGUGCCUAACACAUGCAAGUCGCACGAGAAAGUGGAGCAAUCCACGAGUAAAGUGGCGCACGGGUGAGUAACACGUGAAUGAUCUACCUCCGAGUGGGGAAUAACUGAGAGAAAUCUUAGCUAAUACCGCAUAAUACCCACGGGUCAAAGCAGCAAUGCGCUUGGAGAGGAGUUCGCGGCCGAUUAGCUAGUUGGCGGGGUAAUGGCCCACCAAGGCGAUGAUCGGUAUCCGGCCUGAGAGGGCGCACGGACACACUGGAACUGAAACACGGUCCAGACUCCUACGGGAGGCAGCAGUGGGGAAUUUUGCGCAAUGGGGGAAACCCUGACGCAGCAACGCCGCGUGGAGGAUGAAAUCCCUUGGGAUGUAAACUCCUUUCGAUAGGGAAGAUAAUGACGGUACCUAUAGAAGAAGCCCGGCUAACUUCGCGCCAGCAGCCGC